UACGUAGGGGGCAAGCGUUAUCCGGAAUGAUUGGGCGUAAAGCGUCCGCAGGUGGCUGUUCAAGUCUGCUGUCAAAGACCGGGGCUUAACUUCGGAAAGGCAGUGGAAACUGAACAGCUAGAGUAUGGUAGGGGCAGAGGGAAUUCCUGGUGUAGCGGUGAAAUGCGUAGAGAUCAGGAAGAACAUCGGUGGCGAAGGCGCUCUGCUGGACCAUAACUGACACUCAGGGACGAAAGCUAGGGGAGCGAAUGGG
rnacentral:rRNA from 1 species